GGUCCCAUAGCUCAGUUGGUUAGAGCGUCGUACUAAUAUCUCAUCCGAAAUAUUAAGUAAAUGCGAAGGCCGAGAGUUCAAGCCUCUCUGGGACCA
rnacentral:tRNA from 1 species